CGAUGUUAGAAUUACAUAUUCUUUCGAUGGUAUUAUUUUUGAUUCUAUAGCGAAUAAACGGAGAAGUUGGUUCACGAAACACAGACAAUUCGAUGUUAGCUCGGGGGAUGAGUCGUCAAUCUGCUACCCUAAACCUCGUAAAGCCUGCAGCCGCCUGCAAUUGUCAGCGCAGAGCAACUGAUCGAUUUCGAGGGAAACACUGCAGCCUCCGCGUGAUUUCAUCAACAAACUCGUAAUCCUUGCGGACCGUUCCCAACUAGUAUCUACGUAGUUUCCUAGUUUAGGCAUUGAAGUAUAACUAGAAUUAUUUGUGCAGCGGGGCAGGUCCCUUAGAGAUUUUGAUAUUCUGGAAUAUUAGAAUGGUUUCUAUCUAAAAAAUUGUCGAGGUAAAAAGAAAUGAUCAGAAUAAUUUAAUAAUAGAAAUUCUAGAAGAAGAAGAAGAAAUUGUUCACCACGCAUCAAGAAUAAUCCUAGUCGAAUGGAAGAGGAGAGAAGAAAUUUUUUGUAGAGUUGCGACGGUAAGGCCAGAUCAGAGAAGACAGGCAAGGGAGGGAAAAAUAAUCUCCCAGCGGGAUUUUCGACCCUCGCCUCGUUUCGUAUCAGGGAUAGGAAGAGAGGCGGUGAUCGUUAGCGCAGAGGGAUCUUUGAAAAACGUGUUUCAUGGUGAGACAGAGAAAGAGAGGCAGCUGGUGAGCUAGCGAGCAGUCAGGGAGAGCAUUGAAAAGGGGGCGUUGACAAAGGGAGAGUCGUAACCCUCGGGGAGCCCAGCGGGAAAGCGAGUCCUGCAACGCUUUCCUCUUGCCUCAAUGGAAUACGUUAGGACACGGGUUGAAAAAUUCAAACAGCGAAAUCUCUUCAACUCUGCGACAGAAUUUGAACGAUCCUAAAACGUUAUCACCAGGUUUAUCGCAUACAGAGAGUCUAAUAUCUAAUUUGAUGAAAAUGGCUUCAUAGAGAUAAUAGAUAAGAUUGACUCAUAGAGCAAUGCAGAAGAUCAUCACCCCGUCUCUUCAGACUUACAUAUAGUAACUCUCCAGUAGCCAGUUCAUCGAACCAACCAGAGAAACAGAGUCUGGUUAAACCAGAUCCUCUCAUUCUUCCUCUCACUGUGAGAGUAGAUAUACUUUCUCCUUCCGGGACCUAGUUGCCAAGUCUAUGAAAAGUAUGAAGAGGAGAUGGAACGGUGUGGCAAGGGCAAGAGGAGGAAGAGAAGGGCCAGAGAUUGGAGUACGAGAGAAUGUGUUGCAAGUUGCAAGGAAGUAUUGCGGGUAGGGGAAAUUGAAAGUAGGAUGGAAGAACGGUGGAAGGCGGGUGUGAUAGGGUGUAGGGUGUCCCUCAAAUCGCCCCCGCCAUUGGUAAACGUCGUCGUAGCACGUGCUUGCUACGUCACCGCGUGUUUACAGAGAGAUACCUAUAGCCGUUACUCGUGACCUUGUGUUUUGUAUAUAUCAUCCUCCCUCCUGAUGCCCGUGGGAUGUACCUCCCGUGGCCCCGCGGACUCGGGAAUACCCCUAUCCAGUAUCGUCGCCUCCUCUUGCACACCAGAGAGAGGAGUGCUCCUCAAACUCCCCGUGAGCCAACCAGUUGUUCCGUCUGUGACGUAACAGGGUAUCACACGACCUGUCGGUGCUUUGUUGCAUCCUGUUCUAACUCUCCAUCCGGCGUCUCUCUUCGACCUAGACAACCUUCUUUCCUUCUCUCACUCCGUUCCUUCACCGGCCGUCUCUUUUCACCUAACUAUUAACGUCUCUCUUCUUCUUCUUCUUCUAUCUUCCAGAUUCCAGUAUCCCCGUCGACCUACCUCGCACACCUUAUGCCCUUCGUGCCGUACACCGCUGAUUCACUGUGUAAGUGGAUACGCGCACCGCUGUUUUCUCCUGAUUUAACCGAGCGAACGAAAGUGAGAAGAGAGGAUGGUUUAAAUGGGUGAACGCAUCGACUCGAAGGUCGUGCCAGAGCUUACUAGGUCACUGGAACGACUCUGAUGACCCCAACUUCCAUUCCUUUCGGUUACCGCUGCUCCAAAUGGAUUUGGGAUCGAUGCGCCUGCGAGCCGGAGAUUUCCGCUCCUAUUUACUUUUCCUGUUGCAUACUAGAAAACGUACCACGUGGAGCGUUUACUCUGCUAAAUGUAUUUUCGAAAGGCUAAUCCAUUGGAAGUUGCAAGAGAAUAUCAGAUAUUCUUUUGGAUCAACCGAAGCACUCCUGAGGAAGGAACUCUGAGAAGCUUGAAAUGCGUUGUUGCUGGCAAUCGACCAUACGGCAAGGUUACUUCUGUCCUUAAUUUUAGAAGCAUCAAAAAGGAACGCUCGUCACGACCAAAAUAAUAACGUGUAUAUAUGAGGCGUGAAUAAGAGUCGACUACUUCAGUGUGGGAACUGCGACGAAGUUGGAAAUUGUGUAACAAUGUCAACCAUUGCGAUAACUUUAAUUGAACAGUGCAAGUGAAGUCGUUCGUAUAGAAGCAACUGAAGAACAAGUACAAGGAGAAAGUCGGAGAUUGCAGGUGGCCCUUGAACACGGUGUACAAAUCGCGGAUAAAAAGGAAUGAUCUUUCUCUGGUAAAUAAAGACUACGUUUGUUCCUUGGUAGCGUGUAAACCAACGGAAACGGGUCACUGAUAAGGCAGUACCAAGAUCGUCUCGAUCAACGAACGAAAAGUUCCUACGCGAGGAAAAAGAUAUAGCGCUACAUCAGAACAAGAGAGAAAGCUCCAGGACAAGUAUAGAAACUCGAGGAGACUAAAAUUAGUUACUAUCACGACAACGCGUGAGAAACACAACGGGUCGAAGAGAACACCAGAAACCUUGUAAUCAAAGGAGAAGAAAAAGAAAACACUUGGUUAUCUUCAUUGGUCGAGCUUCGCCUCUUGUUUCUGUGUUCGAGCCCCGCGAAUCAAUCUAAAAACCAGCAAGCUGUUUUACGCAAUGACUUCCACAUCAUCGACUACGAUUACGUUAUUUCACACUCUCGAGGAUGUCUACGGACAAGGACAUAGAAAGGCGAGGUGCUGUGACCAUGAUGAAAGAAUUGGUACCCAAGGAGACAAAGAAGAAGAAGAAGAA